CGACCGGCGCACGGGUGAGUAACGCGUAUGCAACCUACCUACAACAGGGGAAUAACCCGGAGAAAUUCGGACUAAUACCGCAUAAAACAGGGGCUCCGCAUGGAGAUAUUUGUUAAAGAUUAUCGGUUGUAGAUGGGCAUGCGUUCCAUUAGGUAGUUGGUGAGGUAACGGCUCACCAAGCCAACGAUGGAUAGGGGAACUGAGAGGUUUAUCCCCCACACUGGAACUGAGACACGGACCAG
rnacentral:rRNA from 1 species